rnacentral:rRNA from 2 species
GACGCUGGCGGCAGGCCUAACACAUGCAAGUCGAGCGGAUGAGAAGAGCUUGCUCUUCGAUUCAGCGGCGGACGGGUGAGUAAUGCCUAGGAAUCUGCCUGGUAGUGGGGGACAACGUUUCGAAAGGAACGCUAAUACCGCAUACGUCCUACGGGAGAAAGCAGGGGACCUUCGGGCCUUGCGCUAUCAGAUGAGCCUAGGUCGGAUUAGCUAGUUGGUGAGGUAAUGGCUCACCAAGGCGACGAUCCGUAACUGGUCUGAGAGGAUGAUCAGUCACACUGGAACUGAGACACGGUCCAGACUCCUACGGGAGGCAGCAGUGGGGAAUAUUGGACAAUGGGCGAAAGCCUGAUCCAGCCAUGCCGCGUGUGUGAAGAAGGUCUUCGGAUUGUAAAGCACUUUAAGUUGGGAGGAAGGGCAUUAACCUAAUACGUUAGUGUUUUGACGUUACCGACAGAAUAAGCACCGGCUAACUCUGUGCCAGCAGCCGCGGUAAUACAGAGGGUGCAAGCGUUAAUCGGAAUUACUGGGCGUAAAGCGCGCGUAGGUGGUUUGUUAAGUUGGAUGUGAAAGCCCCGGGCUCAACCUGGGAACUGCAUCCAAAACUGGCAAGCUAGAGUACGGUAGAGGGUGGUGGAAUUUCCUGUGUAGCGGUGAAAUGCGUAGAUAUAGGAAGGAACACCAGUGGCGAAGGCGACCACCUGGACUGAUACUGACACUGAGGUGCGAAAGCGUGGGGAGCAAACAGGAUUAGAUACCCUGGUAGUCCACGCCGUAAACGAUGUCAACUAGCCGUUGGAAUCCUUGAGAUUUUAGUGGCGCAGCUAACGCAUUAA